rnacentral:rRNA from 1 species
UAUAUUUGCACUGUCAGAGAUGGGUCUUUCCUUCGGUGACUUGGUGACAGGUGCUGCAUGGCUGUCGUCAGCUCGUGUCGUGAGAUGUUCGGUUAAGUCCGGCAACGAGCGCAACCCACAUCCCUAGUUGCCAGCAAUUCGGCUGGGCACUCUAUGGAAACUGCCCGUGAUAAGCGGGAGGAAGGUGGGGAUGACGUCAAGUCCUCAUGGCCCUUACGGGUUGGGCUACACACGUGCUACAAUGGUAGUGACAAUGGGUUAAUCCCAAAAAGCUAUCUCAGUUCGGAUUGGGGUCUGCAACUCGACCCCAUGAAGUCGGAAUCGCUAGUAAUCGCGUAACAGCAUGACGCGGUGAAUACGUUCCCGGGUCUUGUACACACCGACGAUG